GAACCCGUCGACUCCUGUGGCAAUACCUACAUAGAGGAAAACGACGCUAAGAAGCGCGUUGUAGGCGGCUCGGCGUUACUUCAGGGUGAGUGGCCGUGGUUGGCAUCAAUACACUAUGCGUAUGGGGAGAACAUCACGUCGCAUACGUGUGGAGCGACACUUAUUCACCCACAGUGGCUACUCACCGCCGCGCACUGCUUCGUUUUUAGUUGGCUUGACUAGUCGGACACAAGCAUCUGGCGCAUUGUGCUCGGGGAGCACGUUCAGUAUCGAGAGGAAGGCACCGAGCAGAAGCACACCUUGGACAAGGUUGUCCCACACCCCAAGUACUUGCUUUCGUCGGACGAUCACAUGCUCUAUGAUAUCGCUCUACUAAAGUUGAGUAGGCCAGCUGACUUGUCCGAGUACUUGAACACCAUCUGUAUCGAGCCCGACUACACCGCGCCCGAUCACAGCCACUGCGUCACAGUGGGUUGGGG